CUUACUUUUGGCAAACUUCAGUCGGGCUGGAUCUUUGGUCCUCGUCUGACAGUUGCUGCGCGUGUACUUGUCCACGGUUCAUCCGUGAGGCCCAUUUGGGUUGCAACUGUAAAUAAAUCGUUGUGCUUAAAGCGGGCUAUGAUACUCUGCCAGAGCGAUUUAGCAUGGGACUGCAGAGUAGCUGUAUUUGAGUGAAGGUUGUGCUUCGGUAUGACUGGAUCUUGGUACAGCGCUUGUAAUGGAGCUCAGGGUGAGGCCCCGGGUACCAUGAGGCUAGAGGUGAAAUUCUGAGACCCUCAUGUGACCAACUAAGGCGAAAGCUGUCGUGGGCCACCACAAGCUCGUCUAUCAGGGACGAAAGUUGGGGGAUCGAAGACGAUUAGAUACCGUCGUAGUCCCAACUAUAAACGAUACCAACCGAGUAUUUGGGAAGACACUAUCCCAGCGAUCUUCUCAGAACUCAAGGGAAACCUUAAGUCUUUGGGUUCUGGGGGGAGUAUAGUCGCAAGACCG
rnacentral:rRNA from 1 species